AACGAACGCUGGCGGCAGGCCUAACACAUGCAAGUCGAACGCUCCGCAAGGGGAGUGGCGCACGGGUGAGUAACACGUGGGAACCUACCUUCUGGUACGGAACAACCAAGGGAAACUCUGGCUGAUACCGUAUACGACCUCCGGGUGAAAGAAUUGAUCGCCGGAAGAGGGGCCCGCGUCCGAUUAGGUAGUUGGUGAGGUAACGGCUCACCAAGCCUGCGAUCGGUAGCUGGUCUGAGAGGAUGACCAGCCACACUGGGACUGAGACACGGCCCAGACUCCUACGGGAGGCAGCAGUGGGGAAUAUUGGACAAUGGGCGGCAAGCCUGAUCCAGCCAUGCCGCGUGAGUGAUGAA
rnacentral:rRNA from 1 species